CUGCCCCCUUUCACCACUUCCUCUCUGCUCUUAUAAUUUUAUUUUUGCCCAGUGCCAAGGGAACAGGACCUUCCCAGUCAGGAUAGUAUAGGAACAGUAUGGAGAGUAAUUGUGUGGGCUGCAGGCUCUGUGUCCGGUUGGAAUAUGGCCUUUUUUCUACUCAUGUUACCUUGAGUAACUCGCUCAACUUUCCUGAGCCUCAGUUUCCAUUUAUGAAAUGGAUGUUAAUUCCACCCUCAUAGGUUUGAUCUGGAAGCUGAAUGUUUAGACAGGGACUGGCACAUUGGAAACGCCCAAAUAAAUGAUAGCCAUGCUUGUCCUUAUUAUUACCAUUAAAAGACAUCAGAGAAAGGAGGAUUUUAAUUUGUGGGAUGUAUAUUGUGCAUAUCUAUGUCUACUUUCAAAGUCAGAGACAGUAGUCUUUCUUUAGAACUUAAUUUCCCUCCUAAUCAUUGGGUGAUUGUUUUUCUUUGCAGCAUUUCAGAAACGGCUCUCUGCAGAGGAAAUGGUUAGUGGCUGUGGCAGACCCCCUUCUGGUGAAAUCCGAAACAGAAAACCUCACAAAAUUUGGGAUUUUGCUCCUAAUCUGAGAGUCUGGGUGUAGUGGGGAGUGGGGGUUGUUAAACAGUCUGGAGCGGAUUUACAAAGUUUGGGAAAACCAAAAUCAAUCUCUGACUGGGCAGAGAGGUCGGGCAGCCAAUGAGUGAUUCAUUGUGGUUUCCCACGGAAAUGCCACAUUUCGGGGGUGUCUACCUGGAGGAUGCAGCUUGGUGGUUUUGCUGUAAGUGUUUCAGAUUCCUUUGAAACCCAAUCAGACUUUGAAGAGGGAACAACAUGCUCAUGAGCGAAAACAGAAGCCUGAAAUGAACCUGCUGGGAACUGAAAGUUGGGUACCAGCUCGUUUACUCCAAGUAAGGAACAGAUACCAGUUUUAGACCCAGCAUUGUUCCUUUUCUGCAAUUCUCUCUCCGUGGCCAGAAGCAGUAGGACAGCUCUGAGCUGGGCACCAGGAGUCCCAGGGUCCUGCUCCAGGCCCACUGUAGCUGCCGUCCCCUCUGCCUGGAAGAACCCUUGUAUGGCUGUUCUUGGCACGCAGCUCACAGCCCAGAAGUCAGCUCCGCAGAUAGGUUUUCCCCAACCAUGUGAUCUGCUUGUCUCUGGCACCUACACCCCACCUCCACCUCUCCCAAACAUAGCGCAUCCUGUUUGAUUGCUUCAUAGCCCUUGUCACUGUUUAAUGUAGCCUACAUGAUUGGUUGCUUAUUUUUUAUCUGCCCCCCACUCUCCCCACUGCAUGGGUAAACUGCAUUACAGCAGUACCUUUGCCUGUUUCCUUAGAACAGUGCUGGCCCAUAUGAGACCAUCGAUAAACACGUGUUGAAUAAAUGAAAGAAGCAAACAAACUAGAGUUGCAGAUGGGACCUCUGCCUGAGGUAGGGUGGUUCACUCGGUCCCGCAGCUCCCUGUGGCUUCCUCUUUGGUGGAGAGAUUCAAAAGGGAACGCCCAGUGCGGUGGAAGGAGCACCAGAUGGCUCUAUUAGUGCUUCUGGAAAACUAAAACUAUAAGUAGGCCAGGCGCGGUGGCUCACGCCUGUAAUCCCAGCACUUUGGGAGGCCGAGCAGGUAGAUCACCUAAGGUCAGGAGUUUGAGACCAGUCUGGCCAACAUGGUGAAACCCCGUGUCUACUAAAAAUACAAAAAAUUGCCGGGCGUGGUGGUGGGCACCUGUAAUCCCAGCUUCUCCAGAGGCUGAGGCAGGAGAAUCGCUUGAACCCGGGAGGCAGAGGUUGCAGUGAGCUGAGAUCAUGCCAUUGCAUCCCAGACAGGGUGACAGAGUGAGACUCCGUCUCAAAAAAAAAAAAAAAAAAAAAAAAAAAAAAAACCUAAGUAAUUAAGACUGUCAAAUGAGGUAACUAUAGUCUCAUUGGUAUAGUCCCAGUUAAUUACUCCCUCCUUUGUGCUUCCUUGGCAUUUCUGUUUAAAGAAUAUAUUUGUCAUAUUGUAUACUCACUAGAUGACUGUUCUCCUAAAUCAGAUGGAGGAAAGGAGUCCACAUUUGUUGACCACUUGCUCUGAGUGGGUCCCUGAGCAAGGUGAACUUGAAUUCAUUUUAAGGCAUCGGUUAAGUGCCUGUAAUGUGCUAAAAAAAUCUGGGCCCUACAUGUGCAAUGAUGAAAAAGAACUAUUCUUGCUAAGAAAGACAGGAAAGCUCUAUCUAGUAAGCAGAGAGAUAAGUACUCUUAUAGAGUCAUGUCCAGGGUAUCCAGGGCUAUUCAGAACAUUGAAGGUGGAGUAGGGUGGAGAUAAGUUGGAAAAUGCUUCCAAGAAGUGGGUGCUCUUGAACGAACUUUCAAGGAGGAGAUGGGACCUAUGUAGCUAGAUAAGGGGGCACAGGCCUGCCAACCAGAGUAACAAGCGUGAGUGUUAGUGAUGCUCGGCUCCAUGUCCCCUGGGCCCACCUCUGAGCUCACCGGCAGCUGCAAUGAGCUGCCCUCUGUACAGAGAAACUGUCUAUCCAAAGCAGGCCCCCUUUCUCCUCUCUACCAGGAGGCUUUCUCAAGGGCUGUGGGAUCUUGCCUAGCCUGGAAGUUUCCAACAGCCCUGGGUCAGUCCUUAACCAAACAGUGGAUGAAUGUGUCAGCCUCCCCUUCCCUAAGGAAGAUCAAUUCUCAAAUGCUCUCAAGGCAGUUCCUCAGAGGAAUUCCCCAGUAGGAAUGAGUCCAGUUGCCCCCAGCAGUCACUCCCUCAUUAAGUCACUCUUUGAUUUUGCCUCUUCUCCCUUCCUUGCCUUACUUUCUCACUUCCUUAUUUGUUCUUGGGAUCCCAAAUAAAGUAACUGCACC
rnacentral:lncRNA from 1 species